AUUUAGGAUCAUACUGGCGUAACAGCAUUGAUCGAUUUCAGCUUAUUCUUAUGUUUUCUUCACUAAACAGACGGUCAUCUUUACCGUGGAAUGUGGUUCAUGCUUGAUUUUGCAACACUACACUGAUAAAAAAAUACACGUUCGAUUCAUGUUUUUCGGAAUAUGGAUAUUUUCAAUCGGCUUACACCAUCAAGUCUGGUGUACUUCACAUCGAUGACAUGUUCUUCACAAACUCAUUUCAUAUGUCAAUGUUUAUGUCGUAUUCCAUACUUGUUCCACCAUAAUAUGAUGUGCAUAUCAAUGGAUACCGAUAACAAAUACACAUUGGACGUAUAUGUUCCAAAAUGUGAAUAUUUCAUUUCAAUUUACACCAUGGAGUCUAAUGCAUUUCACAUCACUAAGAUGUUCUUCACAAACUCAGUUCAAAUGUCAUUAUUUAUAGCAAUUUUCAUACUUGAUACACCACGAUUUCCUAUGUUUGUCUAUGAAAUGUUAUAAACUUACUCAAACUAAUAAGAGAUGCAUUCAAACAAACUUAAUUGUAUUACUUUUUCAACGAGAAAGCACAUGGUUCGAAAAAAAACGCUGUAAACUAUAAAUAAUUUCUCCGAUGAACAUGGACGAAAUCAGGAGUAAAAUCGGUAGGUUAAUAUAGUUCCACUAUAGUGGAACAUAUUAUAAUCAUCAUGUAUUUUUUCAUCUCCUCAUAAGUACCCAAUAAUCUUACAUAGCAGCAGAAUUAGCAACCGUCUUCCCAUCAACAGUAAACAGCCGGAUGUAUUUGAGUAUUCCAAUUCCCUCCUGAGCUUUCCUGAGUCUUUCCUGAGCUCGUGAAACAUCAAAUCAUGGAAUGCUUAGAAGCUCACCGUAACACUUACUACCAUCUUACAAACAGUAAAUCCAUACAAGUACAUCCACCAAAC